AUGCAUGUCUAAGCAUAAGCAAUUAUACCGUGAAACUGCGAAUGGCUCAUUAAAUCAGUUAUCGUUUACUUGAUAGUACCUUACUACUUGGAUAACCGUGGUAAUUCUAGAGCUAAUACAUGCUGAAAACCCCGACUUCGGGAGGGGUGUGUUUAUUAGAUAAAAAACCAACGCCCUUCGGGGCUUCUUGGUGAUUCAUGAUAACUUCACGGAUCGCAUGGCCUUGCGCCGGCGACGGUUCAUUCAAAUUUCUGCCCUAUCAACUUUCGAUGGUAAGGUAUUGGCUUACCAUGGUUUCAACGGGUAACGGGGAAUUAGGGUUCGAUUCCGGAGAGGGAGCCUGAGAAACGGCUACCACAUCCAAGGAAGGCAGCAGGCGCGCAAAUUACCCAAUCCCGACACGGGGAGGUAGUGACAAUAA
rnacentral:rRNA from 1 species